rnacentral:rRNA from 1 species
CCCAGCACCGAAGCCUGUGGCCAUUUGGUUACUAGGCAAUGUGGUGUUCAGGUCGUUCCGCGGAGGUUCUGCUCCACCCUAAGUCCAUCAAUGAGUACGGUAUUAUGGACAUGGCCCACAGAGGGUGAAAGGCCCGUGGGGGUGGAGAUUCGGUAGGCCAGAACUUCCCUGGGUAGACCUUGGAGUCGGGUUGUUUGUGAAUGCAGCCCAAAGUGGGUGGUAAACUCCAUCCAAGGCUAAAUACUUGCACGAGUCCGAUAGCGAACAAGUACCGUGAGGGAAAGUUGAAAAGUACUUUGAAGAGAGAGUAAACAGUGCGUGAAACCGCUCAGAGGUAAACGGGUGGAGUUGAACUGCAAGCUCUGGGAAUUCAACUGGUGAGUGUGGUUUGAGCUUGGUCAUAUUGGUGGACGUCGGGGUCUGCGUAGCAGCAGGUCUUCGCCUUCGGGUGGGCAUGCGCGAUGCACUUAUCAAGUGUUGUGCGCCUCGGUUGUUCCCGGCCAACUCGCUAGUGCACUUUCUCGGAGUGGUCACCACGACCGGCGCCACUGUCUGGCCACUGUGGUUAAACCGGCUUUGCAUAGUCCCUGUGGCUUUGUUUUAGUCGGGAUGGCAGGUAGCUCGUUGACUCGCUUGUGGUCUCGCUGCAAGUGUGGUUUUCCAGUCUAAUCCGCUGACCGUAGUGGUUCUGUGAAGUGUGCCGGGGACGGCGGCUCGAGGUGUGUGCAUGCGUUGCUGUUUUGCUGACUGGUCCGAGUUUGGUUAUUUUGUAGCCUGUUCAAUCAGGUCUGGUAGUAGCUCGGAUUUGUUCGGCUGGCGGUGGCGUGUGUGGCAUUGUUCCAAGGGCCAACAGUCUGUGGUGUAGUGGU